GAAAGUAAGCAAGGGCGCAUGGCGGAUGCCUUGGCUCUCGGAGGCGAUGAAGGACGUGAUAAGCUGCGAUAAGCUUCGGGGAGGUGCAAAUAACCUUUGAUCCGGAGAUUUCCGAAUGGGACAACCCAAUAUCUUGAAGAGAUAUUAUCCAACUUAGUUGGAGGCUAACGCAGGGAACUGAAACAUCUUAGUACCUGCAGGAAAAGAAAAUAAUAAUGAUUCCCCCAGUAGUGGCGAGCGAACGGGGAAUAGCCCAAACCGGUUAUGUUACGGCAUAACCGGGGUAGUAGGACUACGGCAUUGCAUGAAAACAGCAGAGAAGAACUUUCUGGAAAGAAAGACCAUAGAGCAUGACAGUUGCGUAUUCGAAUGUUGUCGAAGCAUAGUAGUAUCCUGAGUAGCGCGGAGCACGAGGAAUUCUGCGUGAAUCAGCCGGGACCAUCCGGUAAGGCUAAAUACUCCCGAGAGACCGAUAGUGAACCAGUACCGUGAGGGAAAGGUGAAAAGCACUUCGAACAGAAGAGUGAAAUAGUUCCUGAAACCGUGCGCCUACAAGCGGUCGGAGCAGCGUAAGCUGUGACGGCGUGCCUUUUGCAUAAUGAACCUACGAGUUACCGUUGCCGGCAAGGUUAAGGGUCAUGAGGCCUGUAGCCGAAGCGAAAGCGAGUCUGAACAGGGCGUAUAGUCGGUAGUGGUAGACGCGAAACCAAGUGAUCUACCCUUGAGCAGGUUGAAGUCCGGGUAACACCGGAUGGAGGACCGAACCAAUAAGCGUUGAAAAGCUUCUGGAUGACUUGAGGGUAGGGGUGAAAGGCUAAUCAAACUUGGAGAUAGCUCGUACUCCCCGAAAUGCAUUUAGGUGCAGCCUUGACCAUUACUAAUGUGAGGUAGAGCGACUGAUAAGAUGCGAGGGCUUCACCGCCUAUCAAGUCUUGAUAAACUCCGAAUGCGCAUUAGUUUGAGGUCAGGAGUGAGGGCAUGGGUGCUAAGGUCCGUGCCCGAGAGGAGAAGAAUCCAGACCACCUGCUAAGGUCCCGAAAUAACAGCUAAGUUAAACUAACGAAGUCAGAUUGCUAAGACAGCUAGGAUGUUGGCUUGGAAGCAGCCAUUCAUUUAAAGAGUGCGUAACAGCUCACUAGUCGAGGAGUUUGGCGUGGAUAAUAAUCGGGUAUUAAGCUGUUUACCGAAGCAGUGGGAUCAUAUAAUGAUCGGUAGGGGAGCAUUCCACUCUGCGUCGAAGGUGGGGCGUGAGCCCUGCUGGAGCGUGUGGAAAAGCAAAUGUAGGUAUAAGUAACGAUAAAGGGGGUGAGAAACCCCCUCGCCGCAAGACUCAGGUUUCCUGAUCAACGCUAAUCGGAUCAGGGUCAGUCGGGUCCUAAGGCUCAGCCGAACGGCGAGGCCGAUGGCAGAACCGGUUAAUAUUCCGGUACUACCCUUUAGGGUGACGUGGAGACGCAGUCGUGACAAUGCCGCCAGCUGACGGAAUAGCUGGUUAAAGGGUGUAGAAGUUGAUUGUGGCAGGCAAAUCCACCACAAGAUUCGAACCUGACAGUAUGGAGCGUCCUUCCGGACAAUCCAAUAGUGCAUGUAAUCAUACUGCCAAGAAAAUCCGCUAAACAUAACCUUCAGGGUACCCGUACCGCAAACGGACACACGUAGUCGGGUUGAAUAUACUAAGGCGCUUGAGUGAUUCACGGUUAAGGAACUAGGCAAAUUAACCCUGUAACUUCGGGAAAAAGGGUCCCUACCCGUUAGCGGGAGGGCGCAGAGAAUCGGUCCAGGCAACUGUUUAACAAAAACACAGGGCUGUGCGAAGUCGAAAGACGCUGUAUACAGCCUGACACCUGCCCGGUGCUGGAAGGUUAAGAGGAGAUGUCAUCGCAAGAGAAGCAUUGAAUUGAAGCCCCAGUAAACGGCGGCCGUAACUAUAACGGUCCUAAGGUAGCGAAAUUCCUUGUCGGGUAAGUUC
rnacentral:rRNA from 1 species